rnacentral:rRNA from 1 species
GACGAACGCUGGCGGCGUGCUUAACACAUGCAAGUCGAACGGAAAGGCCCUGCUGUUGUGGGGUGCUCGAGUGGCGAACGGGUGGGUAACACGUGAGUAACCUGCCCUUGACUUGGGGAUAACUUCAGGAAACUGGGGCUACUACCGGAUGGGAGCGCCUGCUGCAUGGUGGGGGUUGGAAAGUUUCGGCGGUUGGGGAUGGACUCGCGGCUUAUCAGCUUGUUGGUGGGGUAGUGGCUUACCAAGGCCUUGACGGGUAGCCGGCCUGAGAGGGUGACCGGCCACAUUGGGACUGAGAUACGGACCAGACUCCUACGGGAGGCAGCGGUGGGGAAUAUUGCACAAUCGGCGGAAGCCUGAUGCAGCAACGCCGCGUUCGGGAUGACGGCCUUGGGGUGGUAAACCGCUUUCGGCUGUGACGAAGCGUGAGUGACGGUAAUGGGUAAAGAAGCACCGGCUAACUACGUG